AAGAAAAAAUGUAAGACUUACCUCUUUUUUGGGCAGGCUAAUACGCGCCUCUGUGUCCUUAAGAAAAUCAUGACUUUAUGUCAUGUAAUUAGUAAAAUCUGGUAAUUUUAUUAAAGGACACGGAGGCUCAUAUUAGGCUAGUUUAAAGCUGUGAAAUAACCAUAGAAGAGAUGUGUUCUGCUGGAAGAAAAUAGUAAUCUUUGAACGUCGAUUCUCGAGACCAAUCAGCUGUGCGGAGAAGGUCCUCAAGUUUACAACCCAAUGUGAAUGCUUUUGAAGCAAUAGCACCUCUAGUAGAAUGAGC